rnacentral:rRNA from 1 species
CGGUAAUUCCAGCUCCAAUAGCGUAUACUAAAGUUGUUGCAGUUAAAAAGCUCGUAGUUGGAUUUCUGCGGGGACGGAGCGGCCGGUCGCAACUUGCGACUCGAGCUAGCGCUUUCCCCGCAUCCUGCCGCGAACCGUGCUACCAUUAGCUUGGUGGCGCUGGGGAUCGGCUCGAUUACUUUGAGAAAAAUAGAGUGUUCAAAGCAGGCCACACGCCUUGAAUAAGUUAGCAUGGAAUAAUGACUAAGGACUUCGGUCCUAUUUUGUUGGUGUUCGGGACUGAAGUAAUGAUUGAUAGGGACAGUUGGGGCGGUCUGUAUUCCAAAGCGAGAGGUGAAAUUCUUAGACCUUCGGAAGACAAACAGCUGCGAAAGCGUUCCGCAAGGAUGUUCCCUUUGAUCAAGAACGAAAGUUGGGGGAUCGAAGACGAUCAGAUACCGUCGUAGUCUCAACUAUAAACUAUACCAGCUAGGGAUCGGUCAACGUUUAAUCAUUCGACUUGAUCGGCACCUUAUGAGAAAUCAAAGCAUCUGGGUUCCGGGGGGAGUAUGGUCGCAAGGCUGAAACUUAAAGGAAUUGACGGAAGGGCACCACCAGCCGUGGAGCCUGUGGCUUAAUUUGACUCAACACGGGAAAACUUACCAGGUCCAGACAUAGUAAGGAUUGACAGAUUGAUAGCUCUUUCUUGAUUCUGUGGGUGGUGGUGCAUGGCCGUUCUUAGUUGGUGGAGUGAUUUGUCUGGUUAAUUCCGUUAACGAACGAGACCCCAGCCUGCUAAAUAGCGCGGCUGAGCUUUGCUCGGUGCGAGCUUCUUAGAGGGACUAUGAUGCGCGAUAGCACAUGGAAGUUUGGGGCAAUAACAGGUCUGUGAUGCCCUUAGAUGUUCUGGGCCGCACACGGGCUACACUGGCGCCUGCAACGAGCAUAUCAGCUGGCCCGAGAGGGUCUUGGCUAAUCUUUUGAACCGGCGCCGUGCUUGGGAUUGACCAUUGCAAUUGUUGGUCAUGCAACGAGGAAUGCCUUGUAAACGCGAGUCAUCAGCUCGCAUUGAAUACGUCCCUGCCCUUUGUACACACCGCCCGUCGCUCCUACCGAUGAAUGUUCCGAUGAAAUUUUCGGAGAGCGCCAGAGAACGGGGCUCCGCCUUGCAGAUCUGGAGGCUCAAAGUCACUUAAAUCUGAACAUUUCGAGGAAGGAGAAGUCGUAACAAGGUAGCCG